UAUGCUUUAUGAUAGCGGUACUCUCCCCGGGUACGGCCCUAAGAAAUAUUGAAGGGUUGCACAAAAGAAGGGGAAUGUCGUCGUACCCUGGUAAGUGU
rnacentral:rRNA from 1 species